UACGGAGGAUCCGAGCGUUAUCCGGAUUUAUUGGGUUUAUAGGGAGCGUAGGUGGAUUGUUAAGUCAGUUGUGAAAGUUUGCGGCUCAACCGUAAAAUUGCAGUUGAAACUGGCAGUCUUGAGUACAGUAGAGGUGGGCGGAAUUCGUGGUGUAGCGGUGAAAUGCUUAGAUAUCACGAAGAACUCCGAUUGCGAAGGCAGCUCACUGGACUGCAACUGACACUGAGGCUCGAAAGUGUGGGUAUCAAACAGG
rnacentral:rRNA from 1 species